CUGCAUUAUAUCUUAAUGAUCGACUAGUUUGAAAUCGAUUCAUUGUCGAAGGCAGAUUUUCAUCUGAAACGAGGAAAACAGAAGCAUGUUGUUAAUCUUAUUUGUCCAAGUUUCUUUCGGUGAUUAAAAACCGUGGAACCGUAAAACCGGUAAUCCAAUCAUCCUGUUACUAAUGAAAACACUUUUUGUUGUGUGUGCUUUAUUGACUUUCCGGAUGAUCGGCAGAUCAAACAAAAAAAUGUGGUGAAAACAAAUUAGUUCGAAAAAAACGUGGUGUACAUGUGUGUAACCCUUUGUCGGAAUUUGAAGGACUUUGGGAACGGAACUGGGUUGUAAUUGUUCUUUUUGUGCUGUUACCAGGCCAAAAUAGAAUUGUUGUCGCCAACUAAUGGAAAAAGAACACGUGGAAUUCCUUGCCUGGCCAGAAAGAACGAGAAAAAAAAAAUCCCAACGUAUAAAUAUAGGGAGGCCUAGACGAAAAGGACACAUCUGUGGGCGAGAAAAGUGAUCUCGGACCGUCUCAUGACCUCAUCAAAUGGUCGGGGUAUCUGCCCUAUUUAAGCUUAUUUAUAGCCCCGACAGUAGGGUGAGGCAGUCGUCGGCACGCGCGCUCCAGAAUGAACGCCAUCUGAUAUGUUAACGCACGCGUCUGUGUGUAUGCAAGAUAACCGAGUAAAAACAGGAAGAAAAAAAAAAAGAUUUAACAUCAUCGAAGAAACGCGUUGGGCUGUAAAUGAGGAAGCUCCUCUUUUUGUGUUCCAAGCGGAAAUGGUGACUUGUGAAAAUUUUUUUUGUAAGAAAAAAGAAAAGGGCAAUAGCGAGACGCGAGAAAUAGUGAUGAUAGCCAGAAUUAUUCUAUUUCUGGCUAACCGAAAAUAUUCAGUUUCUUUCUGCGGACUUGGCUGGAAUAAUUCAACACUCACACUUUGUUUUCGCAAUCAGUAUUGAUCGGAGUUGGAGCCUUGUACGCUAGACUGCCACAUCAAACAUUUUCGAGAAAUCCAGGAAUGCAAUCAAAUGCGGUUUCACGAUGUAAAGCCAUUUACCAUUAUUGGGAAACAAUGGACAAUGGGGUUACAGGGUUCGAUUCAAUGGUCACGAUUAGUGUUAUCCCGUUAUGAGAGAUUUUACCUACAAACGAGUAACAUACACCCUCUCCUUUGGUCAUCUGGUCAUACGAACAGACGAGAGGGCAUAGCGGUAUAACUAAACAAGGACAAGGGAGAAAGUAUACAAAUAAAUAUCCAACCGAGUACCGGUCACACGCGUGAAGGAUGUGCCACACAGCGUGUGGCUCAAUUUUUUUUUUUUUGCAGCGUUGGAAUAGUAAUAAACCAGCCAAAAGAAAAAGGUAAGAAAAAAGAGACGUGUUUGGUUCACGUUUUUUAUUGCAACAAGUUAAAUGGCCUUGAGUGUAAUUUAAUUUAAGGGGUAUGUUAAAUUCUUACUCCCUGUGUCUUGGUUGUAUUUUUUUUUAUAUCGCCCUCAAGACAUCCGGAUUCACGGUCGGUUGGGUACGAUGUCCUCGUCACGAAAUGCAGAAAAAACUCGUGAAAGGCCAUAAAGUGGCGACAGUUUCUCGUUGCUGUAUUACAAACUCGUGUUUGUAGACGACAACGACACGCGAUAACGACCAAUCAACGCCAUGAAGCAGGAAGGCAAAUUAGAAAAUUGAUUCGCUUGACGAGAAAUGAAAAUUCCGCGUGUAGACGCGGGCGUGUUCUGAGGAUUUUCACGGUCUGCGGAACUGGUGGCGGAAUCAACAGUUGUCUAACGCUAUACAACCCCCGUACUUUUGUUUGUGUUAAAUACCAUGGAAAGCCGCUAUACUUCGCUUAACUAGGGUUUUUGUCGAUCUGCAGUUUUAUGAUCAAUCGAGUGCUUUAUGAAUGCCACAAUCUAACUCGAUGAUCGACGAAUAUUUCAAUCAGCCAACCAGUAAACAUCGAAUUCCGUCAAAGUUUGAUGAACUGUGCAAACAAAGCUGUUGUAUGACCCCAGGAUGUCACAUCAUCAUUUUGUCAUGGUUUGUAUUGUAUUUUUUGUUUAUUACAUUACU